UACAGAGGGUGCGAGCGUUAAUCGGAAUUACUGGGCGUAAAGCGUGCGUAGACGGUUAUCUAAGUCAGAUGUGAAAGCCCCGGGCUCAACCUGGGAAUUGCAUUUGAGACUGAAUAGCUAGGGUGCGGUAGAGGGAAGCGGAAUUUCCGGUGUAGCGGUGAAAUGCGUAGAUAUCGGAAGGAACAUCAGUGGCGAAAGCGGCUUCCUGGACCAGCACCGACGUUCAGGCACGAAAGCGUGGGGAGCAAACAGG
rnacentral:rRNA from 2 species